rnacentral:rRNA from 1 species
UACGGAGGAUGCAAGCGUUAUCCGGAUUUAUUGGGUUUAAAGGGUGCGCAGGUGGCUUUGUAAGUCAGUGGUGAAAGUCUGCCGCUUAACGGUAGGACUGCCAUUGAUACUGCAAAGCUUGAGUUUGGAUGAGGUAGGCGGAAUGAGUAGUGUAGCGGUGAAAUGCAUAGAUAUUACUCAGAACACCGAUUGCGAAGGCAGCUUACUAAUCCGCAACUGACACUGAGGCACGAAAGCGUGGGGAUCAAACAGG